UACAGAGGUCUCAAGCGUUGUUCGGAUUCAUUGGGCGUAAAGCGCGUGUAGGCGGCUCGGUAAGUCCGCUCUGAAAGUCCAGGGCUCAACCCUGGGAUGCGGGUGGAUACUGCCGAGCUCGAGUCCGGAAGAGGCGAGUGGAAUUCCUGGUGUAGCGGUGAAAUGCGCAGAUAUCAGGAGGAACACCAAUGGCGAAGGCAGCUCGCUGGGACGUGACUGACGCUGAGACGCGAAAGCGUGGGGAGCAAACAGG
rnacentral:rRNA from 1 species